CCUACGGGAGGCAGCAGUGGGGGAUAUUGCACAAUGGGGGAAACCCUGAUGCAGCGACGCCGCGUGGGUGAAGAAGCGCCUCGGCGCGUAAAGCCCUGUCAGCAGGGAAGAAAAUGACGGUACCUGAAGAAGAAGCCCCGGCUAACUACGUGCCAGCAGCCGCGGUAAUACGUAGGGGGCAAGCGUUAUCCGGAUUUACUGGGUGUAAAGGGGGCGCAGACGGCGAUGCAAGCCAGGAGUGAAAGCCCGGGGCCCAACCCCGGGACUGCACUUGGAACUGCGUGGCUAGAGUGCAGGAGGGGCAGGUGGAAUUCCUGGUGUAGCGGUGAAAUGCGUAGAUAUCAGGAGGAAAACCGGGGGCGAAGGCGGCCUGCUGGACUGCAACUGACGUUGAGGCCCGAAAGCGUGGGGAGCAAACAGGAUUAGAUACCCGAGUAGUC
rnacentral:rRNA from 1 species